rnacentral:rRNA from 1 species
CCUACGGGAGGCAGCAGUGAGGAAUAUUGGUCAAUGGCCGCAGGGCUGAACCAGCCAAGUCGCGUGAGGGAUGACGGUCCUAUGGAUUGUAAACCUCUUUUGUCAGGGAGCAAAGGGCGCCACGUGUGGCGCUUUGCGAGUACCUGAAGAAAAAGCAUCGGCUAACUCCGUGCCAGCAGCCGCGGUAAU